rnacentral:lncRNA from 1 species
UGACUAUUCUUGGAAUAUAUACUAUUUCUCCCACAAUGUGUUCCUGAUAUUAUCUGUGCUUCGACGGAAUUUCUUCCACAUGAGGUCCUAUUGUUAUCCAUUUAUCAUUUAUCUUUUACUGUACUUUUUAUGAUCAGCCACUUUUUGCAAAAAUAAUCUGUAUCAUUUUUUCGGCAUUUUUAUCAUGUUGCUUUGUAAUAUAUAUUUUUCUUUAGAAGAGUUACAAACAAUAUUAAAACCUGAAAACAGAUGACACAUUAGACAUGGGCAGCUAUUGAUGCUUGUACGGACAUGUUAGUCUAAACUUCAAAGAAUAUAAGUUAUACCAUGAAAACAGUGCCUGUGACAUUCACCUAACCUACCCGAAUGUUUCCUCUGUUUGUAAAUAUGAGGUAUAUUUCUUGCCUCAAACAGAUCAUAUUUCCCAUUUUCUUACAAAAUAAGAGUCCUGUUCCUUGUAUGCCCUAUUAUAUAUAUAGGUGCAAUGUAGUCACUAUGGGGGUAGCAGGGACAGUUUCCAUAUUUAGUCAUCAAUGGAUUAGGGACGGAAACACAUGACAAUACUGAGCUAGCUAAAUUACCAUGUAGACCCUCUGCCUAUUUUCUCAUUGUUGUUAUUUAUAGAAAACAGAACUGACUUACCAUAGUGAAGUGCUGACUUUGAGCAGUAAAAGUUGUCGGUUGGUGCAUGCAUGACUCCAGCUUUGCAGUUUGACAUUUUCCUUAGACAUUUGGAAAAGUAAACACAUAAAGAGGAACUCAUAUAUAUUUUUCAUAAAGAGGAAUGCCCUGCAAAAUUUUAAAAUGGUGAAACUUUUAUCUAUGCUUGCUAGUAAUUCCAAGCCAAAUGCAAUAGAGAUGUAGAAUGUCACAACUAUGACAUGAAUAAUUAUAACUUUAGUCAUUCAGAAUUUUAGUGCUAAAAGUAACCUGAAUGUCAAAUACAGAAAGGUUUACCUCUGUCAUUGUGUCAACUUAUUUUGAGGGAUUUGAACAUUUGGUGAAAUUAAUUGAUGAUCAUACACAUGGAAAACAUUUUGGCAGAACUACAGUUAGUGAUGAUUUUCCGUACGCAUGGCCUGUAGCAGAACUGUAAUCUAGCAUUAUCUAAAAUAAGAGACCAGCCUUGGACUAUUAUCUUCCCAUGGCACCACCAUGCUAAUGCUGAAAACAACGUCUAGUACAAUGAAUCUUGCUUUGAAUAUAACAGAACUACUACCCUGCAACUUUAUUCUAUACUGGAAAAUAAUUGAUGCAAUAGUUAAGCUUAUUCCAACUCUUGUAAGGUACAAUGCACAUAAAAGAAAGGGUAUGCAAUUUACAGGUCACUAAUCAUAUUCUUGAUUCUUAACUAUGUGUUGGGUUUCUUCUAACAUUCAUAAUAAAGAUAGGCAAAUACGUGAAUUAUUUCCGCUACAUUUUCCAGAACAGCAGGAUUAUGGAUAGUUCCGAGAAGAGCGCCUCCCGAUCAUGGCUAUCAAUACUCUCGUUGUACUCGUCAAGUCCGACAUCCUAGUGCUAUAUCUCGGUCGGUGUCAAGGAAAUUUUCAACCUGGCCUGAUGGAUGAAGGUGUUUCCUACUUCUGUAUCUCUAUGGUGAUCAAGACUCAGUGAUCCAUGACAUGUAGGAUUUUGGUUCACUGCUCUCACAAAAAGGGGUAAACAUGCAUGGCGUGCCAUAAAUGGGUCUGGUUUGCAGGGAAGCAUUUUGUUGUCUGGCCAUUACUAUUGUCGUCACCUAUACAAAUCGGAACUGACCUGACAUGCUCGUCAUUCAUGGGUGAUUGUUGUCAUUAGCUCCACCCUUAUCAGCUUACCAAAUCUGAAGCCUCGCUUCUCUCCUGGAUUUGCAUGUUGGUGGAUGGAUGUAUGCGUUCAGCAAAGCACAGAGGCAGAAGACCAGCAGCCCAAUCUUGACUCACAAAAAUCUGCAUAGGCACAACUCCAUUAUGCAUUACAAUAUGACAGCAUGCUUUAGCCUCAUCAAUCUUUGUAAAGUUUGUGGAUGGACAUUUAGUUUGUUUUGAUAACUAAAGGGGAAAACCUUUGGCCAGAGCUGGACAUGAGAGCAAAGCGAGGGAUAAAGGAUUACAUUGUAUUGCACUAUGUCUUAAAGUCCCUUGCAACAUCUGUUGUGCUAAUGAAAACUGGUGUCCUCAACCAAAUUGAGGGCCAC